AUGGAGCAACCAACGGCGGCAAGUCCAUGGCUGCUGCUCCUGUGCCUCGCCGCCGUUGCCACCGGCGGCGUACCCCAAGCUCGCGCGCAGCUUGAGAGCAAAGGAUUCAUAAGCAUAGACUGCGGGCUGCCGGGCACCGCGAGCUACGUGGACGCGGGAACAAAGCUGUCAUAUGUCUCGGACGCCGGCUUCACCGAUGACGCCGCCGGCGCCAACCACAACAUCUCGGCCAAGUACAUCCGGCCGCAGCUCUCGCGGCGCUACCACAAUGUGCGCAGCUUCCCCGACGGAGCACGCAACUGCUACACCCUCCGGCCCUUGGUGCCCGGUUGCAAGUACCUCGUCCGCGCGGCAUUCUUGUAUGGCGACUACGACGGCCUCGGCAGGCCGCCUAUCUUCAACCUCCAUCUCGGCGUCAACUACUGGCAGACCGUCAACGUCUCGACGCCAGGCUCCGAGGUGACGGCGGAGGCAAUCGUUGUUGUGCCGGACGACUUCGUGCAGGUCUGCCUUGUGAACACCGGCGCCGGCACGCCGUUCGUCUCCGCGCUGGAGCUGAGGCCGCUGAAGAUGAAGUUCUACCCGCAGGCGAACUUGACGCAGGGUCUCCUCGUAGAACACAGGAUGAACCUUGGCCCGGCGGACGAGACCAACAUCAUCAGGUACCCCGUAGACCCAUACGACCGAGUAUGGAUCCCUUGGGCCGACCCGAAGGAGUGGACAGAGAUAUCAACGACGAGGCAGGUGCAGAGCGACGACGACGACUACGAGGUGCCGUCGGCGGUGAUGCAGACUGCAGUCACUCCGCUGAACGCCUCCAAGAAGAACCUCGAUAUCUCCUGGGACCCCGUGCCUCAGCCUCGCAACCCAUCGCCGGGGUACUUCAUCGUCAUGCACUUCUCGGAGCUGCAGAUCCUCCCCAGCAGCGCCGUGCGCCAGUUCUACGUCCGCAUCAACGGCAUGGAGUUGAACAUGACCGCUGCUAAGCUGUACUACCACGGCACCGGUGUCAUCUCCAAUGUAAAGCCCUACCGAUACGACAAAUUCAAUAUCUCUUUGCACGCCACCACUAACUCGACGCUGCCACCGAUCGUCAACGCCAUCGAGUUGUUCUCCGUCAUGCCCACCUCCAUCCUCGGCACGGACUCCCAGGACGUGUCGGCCAGCAUGGCGAUCAAGGACAAGUAUCAUGUGCAGAAGAACUGGAUGGGUGACCCAUGCAUUCCCAAGACUAUAGCAUGGGAAAGGUUGAUGUGCAGUUAUACAAUUGCACAAACACCAAGGAUCAUAAGCGUAAACCUGUCUUUCAGUGGUCCGAGUGGUGAUAUAUUGUCUUCUUUCGCGAAUCUCAAGGCUCUCCAAUACUUGGAUCUGUCAAACAACAACUUGACUGGCACAAUUCCAGAUGCCCUUUCGCAGUUACCCUUGCUGAAAUUUUUAGAUUUGUCGGGCAAUCAACUCAGUGGAUCAAUUCCCUCUGGAUUUCUCAAAAGAAUUCAAGAUGGCUCCCUAAAUCUGAGAUAUGGCAACAACUUGAACCUUUGCACCAACAAUAAUUCAUGUCAGCCUGCUAAGAUAAAGAGCAAGCGAGCCAUCAAGUUUGUUGUCCCUAUAGCUGUCACCAUGGUGAUAGUAGUAGUGGCGCUAACACUCUUUUCCUCGCUGAGACGAAAAAAACGAGGAUCAAUGAAAAACUCCGUUAAACCACAAAAUGAAACAACAAAUGAUGGGGACACUUCACUUGGACUUGAGACUCGUCAAUUAACAUACAUAGAGAUUGAGAGGAUAACGAACAACCUUCGGCAUGUAUUGGGCAAAGGGGGGUUCGGUUAUGUCUAUGACGGCUUCUUGGAGGAUGGUACUCAAGUGGCUGUAAAGAUACGAUCUCAGUCUUCCAAUCAAGGUGACAAGGAAUUCCUAGCUGAGGUUCAGAUUUUAACACGGAUUCAUCACAAGAAUCUUGUCUCCUUGAUUGGUUUCUGCAAGGAUGGUGAGCACAUGGCACUUGUCUACGAGUUCAUGUCGAGGGGAACUUUGCAAGAGCACAUUGUAGGAGGAGACCACAACACAAUUUGUUUAAGCUGGAGACAAAGACUUAAAAUUGCAGUUGAAUCUGCACAAGGGUUGGAAUACCUGCACAAGGGGUGCAACCCACCCUUGAUUCAUAGGGAUGUGAAGGCCACAAACAUCCUAUUGAACACAAGGUUCGAGGCCAAGAUUGCUGAUUUCGGAUUGUCCAAGGCUUUCAACCACGACAAUGAAACCCAGAUAUCCACAAAUGUUAUUGUCGGUACACGAGGAUACAUGGAUCCAGAGUACCAGACAACAGGACAACCAACGACAAAGAGUGAUGUGUACAGCUUCGGCGUCGUGCUGCUGGUGCUUGUCACGGGGAAGCCACCAACCCUGCACAAUCCGCAGGGCAUCAGCAUCAUCGAGUGGGUGCAACAACGGCUAGCAAAGGGCAACAUCGAAGGCGUGGUAGAUGUGCGCAUGCACGGAGACCACGACGUCAAUAGUAUGUGGAAAGCCGCUGACAUUGCGCUCAAGUGCACUGCACAGGCUUCAUCACGGCGUCCCAACAUGAUUGAUGUUGUGUUGCAGCUACAGGAGUGCCUCAAACUAGAGGAGGACCACGCCGGUGGCGAAGCCAACACCAGCUUCUACACUGGCAUUUAUAGCAAUGACCAGAACUUGAGAUAUGAUGCUUACCCUACUAACCAGUCCACAAAUGUGAGUCAGAGCAGCACCGGAUUUGAGAUGGAGCAUAGUUUUGGGAGGGUGCCAACAAUGGACAAUGGUCCUGCUGCUCGAUAA
rnacentral:rRNA from 1 species